UUCAAAACCCAACGUGAUUCGGUCUUCAAUUCACUUGCUUUUGUCGCCUAUAGCAUCAUCAGCCAUUGACAGGCGUCGAAUCGAUAGAACACGGUGUUGCUGCUCGCUCUACAGAACCAACACGUUUCAGAGUGAGCAAUUUGAUUUUACAGCCAGCCAGAUGAAGGAUGAAGAAGCCUCAAUUUUCAGGAGCCCCAACCUGCUACAAUAUUGCAUCAACUCUUUUUUUUCCUUUCGCAAUUUUGUAUUGUAUUGUUCGAUUAAGGCUCAAUGUCGUUGUUGUUGUGCUCGAUUUAUUGUUUAUCGUCUUGCACCUCUGCAUGCACUCAUCUUAGUCUGUGAAAUAAUAAUAUACUUGGGAGGCAUGUGUAUACGUAUG